UACGAAGGGGGCUAGCGUUGCUCGGAAUCACUGGGCGUAAAGCGCACGUAGGCGGAUUGCUAAGUCAGGGGUGAAAUCCUGGAGCUCAACUCCAGAACUGCCUUUGAUACUGAAGAUCUUGAGUCCGGGAGAGGUGAGUGGAACUGCGAGUGUAGAGGUGAAAUUCGUAGAUAUUCGCAAGAACACCAGUGGCGAAGGCGGCUCACUGGCCCGGUACUGACGCUGAGGCGCGAAAGCGUGGGGAGCAAACAGG
rnacentral:rRNA from 1 species